rnacentral:rRNA from 1 species
UCCUAGUUGGUGAGGUAAGGCUUACCAAGGCUUCGAUCAGUAGUUGGUCUGAGAGGACGACCAGCCACACUGGGACUGAGACACGGCCCAGACUCCUACGGGAGGCAGCAGUGGGGAAUUUUGGACAAUGGGCGCAAGCCUGAUCCAGCCAUGCCGCGUGAGUGAAGAAGGCCUUCGGGUUGUAAAGCUCUUUCAGUUGGGAAGAAACGAUUGCGACUAAUAAUUGUAAUUAAUGACGGUACCGACAGAAGAAGCACCGGCUAACUACGUGCCAGCAGCCGCGGUAAUACGUAGGGUGCGAGCGUUAAUCGGAAUUACUGGGCGUAAAGGGUGCGCAGGCGGUUUUGUAAGUCAGAUGUGAAAUCCCCGGGCUNAACCUGGGAACUGCGUUUGAAACUACAAAGCUAGA